rnacentral:rRNA from 1 species
GAAACUGCGAAUGGCUCAUUAAAACAGUUAUAGUUUAUUUGAUGGUCUUUACUACAUGGAUAACCGUGGUAAUUCUAUGGCUAAUACAUGCGCACAUGCCUCUUCCCUCGUGGAAGGGUAGUGUUUAUUAGAUACAGAACCAACCCACCUUCGGGUGGUCCUCAGGUGAUUCAUAGUAACCGAACGGAUCGCAUUAUGGCCUUUUGGUCGGCGAUGGAUCAUUCAAGUUUCUGACCUAUCAGCUUUCGACGGUACU